rnacentral:tRNA from 1 species
AAGGUUUUAGCUUAAUUAAAGUGUCUGAGUUGCAUUUAGAAGAUGUGAGAUAGAGUCUUGCAGAUCUUA